rnacentral:lncRNA from 10 species
CAUGCAUCUCCCUUUCUCUGCCAAACUCUUCCUUGAUGACACACAAGAUCCGAGGAUGAAUGAUUGCCCUCUUGAACUCAUUACACUUUCCUUGCCUAGAAUCUGGGGACAGAAUGAAGGCUCUGUCUUCUACUCCAUCAUCUUGUUGGCAUCACUCCUGGAAAAGUUCACAGUUUUUCCUGAUGCCUAUUGUCAAGCUCAGCAGAGCUGCCUGCCUCCAGCUCCAGUAUUAGAACUAUCCUGGUGUAAUGUGCAAAAAAAGAGAACAGAGAGAAGAUAGAACAAUCAUCAAAUUCUUACUCUCAUAUUUCUACAAACAUGAAAAGAUAAAAUCUAAGAGGGAGAACAAGUAAGUCAGGGAUUACGGCUACGAUUCAGUUUCGAGAUUCCACUAAUUGAUCAGAGAAAAAGAAUGGACUGCAAGAUGAGCUUAAAUCAUGUUAUUGUUUCACAAUCACAAAGACAAAUGCCAUGUUGUGAGAGGACCAUGUGCUGAAGAACUGAGGCCUUCUGGUGAGAGCCACCUAAGUGACCUUAGAAGCAGAUCUUCCAACCCCAGUCAAACCUUCAGAUAAUUGCAACCUCAGCUAAUCUCAUGAGGACUAUACGCUCAUGAGAGACUCAGAUAAAUUGCUUCUAGAUUUCUGACCCUCAGAAACUCUGCAUGAUAAUACAUAUGUUUGGUUUUAAGCCUGUAAGUUUGCAGGUGACUUGCUACAUCGUAAUAGGUAAUACAUUGCUCUUACCUGAAAGAUACCUAAAGCCUUGUUGUGGAAGAGGACCAGAGUGAGAUGUUUUGAAAUACUGCUUCACGCACUGUGUCACAGAAAAAUGGAGAAACUGUAUAACAGAAAUAAAGGGUCCAUAAUAAUUCACGCAAGGUUUGCCACAUUUCAGAUUGGUUAUAAAUUCACAGGAAAAGACCACACAUGCAUCCACACAAACAUACACACAUACAAAUACACACUAUAAGACUACAGUAAAUUCCCAGUAAACUGAACAUUCAGAGCAGGAGCAGCUACAUGAUAGCCAGGUAAUUAAUUUUUCUGCUCUAUCUAAGCUCAAGAAGAAAAAAAAUCACCAAGGUCUUAUGGCCGUGAAUAUUUUAUUUCUUUUACUUCCUUUUUGUGCAUGUGCAAACAUUAUUAUUUAGUAUAAAUAGCUCUCCAUUGACAUGUAUAUGAGACUUGGAAUUUAGUGUAAUUUAAAACUGAAAGACAAAAUUGCUUAGAACAUGAGAAGAGCGAGUUUGUGUUGUAUGCUAAUAGGCUUAGACUACAAAUUUUUUUUAAACAAAAUUUGCCUUUGGGAGAAGAAUCACUUGUGAUAUUUGUACUAAACUCAGUAUUAGAAAUCCCCACAUAUAAGAAGAUUAAAUCAUCAUCAUGCAGCAAACUACAACAAUGUUAGUUGGGGACAUCUGGACAAUUAUUCUGCUCCUCCAGAAAAGGACGUGCCUUGUCAUUGCUGAAUUUAAGUCAGAACCAGAAAAAAUCAUUAUUAAAGAAAAAAAAAAAGAAAGAAACAGGGAAAGAAAGAAGGAAAGGAGGGAGGGAGGGAGGGAGGAAGGAAGGAAGGAAGGAAGGAAGGAAGGAAGGAAGGAAGGAAGGAAGGGGGGAAGGAAGGAAGGAAAAGAAAGCAAAAGAAAAAGAAAGAAAACAGAAGAAAGAAGGAAAGAAGGAAGGAAGGAGAGAAGAAAGAAAGAAUAGAAGGAAGGAAAGAAAGAAAGAAAGAGAGAAAGAAAGAAAGAAAGAAAGAGAAAGAAAGCUUAAAUGAGAGCUGACAGUUUAUUUAUAUAAAAUGUUUAGAAUUUUUAUGAAGUACCCUCAUAAACUGGAACUCCAGACCUGCUAAGAUAAUCAUGUGAAUGGACAGUGUUGCCAGCAUCUGCCUACCCCUUUUCAAGGUUUCUGUGGUGCUGAGAUAGAUGCAACUGCUCCUGCUUAUUGUAGCCAGUUUAUCAUUGCUAAAAUUACAUACCCUUGGUUAAUUAAAUUGGGAACAUACUAUAACCGUUCUGUGUAUGUGUGUAUGUGCAUGUGAAUGUAGUCUUUUUCUGUAAAUACCAAACAGAGAUGUUCCUGACUCAGGGAUAUAUUUUUCAACCACAGUAAAAUUCAUUUUGG